rnacentral:rRNA from 1 species
UACGUAGGGCGCAAGCGUUGUCCGGAAUUAUUGGGCGUAAAGAGCUCGUAGGCGGUUUGUCACGUCGGGUGUGAAAGCCCGGGGCUAACCCCGGGUCUGCAUUCGAUACGGGCAGACUAGACGUGUGGUAGGGGAGAUCGGAAUUCCUGGUGUAGCGGUGAAAUGCGCAGAUAUCAGGAGGAACACCGGUGGCGAAGGCGGAUCUCUGGGCCAUUACUGACGUGAGGAGCGAAAGCGUGGGGAGCGAACAGGAUUAGAUACCGAG